rnacentral:rRNA from 1 species
AAUCAACGCUGGCGGCGCGCUUAACACAUGCAAGUCGCACGAGAAAGGGGAGCAAUCCCUGAGUAAAGUGGCGUACGGGUGAGUAACACGUGGAUAAUCUACCUUCUAGUGGGGAAUACCCCUGGGAAACCGGGGAUAAUACCGCAUAAGCUCGUGAGAGGAAAGCAGCAAUGCGCUGGAAGAGGAGUCCGCGGCUGAUUAGCUAGUUGGCGGGGUAAUGGCCCACCAAGGCGAAGAUCGGUAGCCGGCCUGAGAGGGCUCACGGCCACA